rnacentral:lncRNA from 1 species
CUCUUUCUCUCUUCCCUCGCUCUCUGUUCAGAGCCAAAAGCAGAGCACAUAUACACACACACUUACGAUGUUGCUUGGAAAGAGACAACGACCACCGAUCAACAGAACAACUAGCCUGUCCGAGAUUAAGUUCGAUCUGAACCUUCCCAGCGAAUCAGAGGUACCAUCAACUCAUCAGAGUCCAAACCAAAAUACUGUGGUGGGACCGUCCGGUUCCAACGGUCAACACGUAGCAGCAGCCGUCGAUCCACGUUUCUUGGCUAUGGUUUCACCGAGAGGUAACCUGAGGAGACACUCAGGCGAGUUUUCCGACGCUGGACAUUUCUUGAGAUCUUGCUCCCUAUGUGAACGCUUACUUGUUCCUGGCCGUGACAUCUAUAUGUACAGGUAUGUAUAUGAACCAAAUAAUAAUAAAAACCGCUGACUCUUGAAUCUCUGAUCAUAGAGAGAGAUAUUCGUUAAAAUGAGAGUAAUUUUUUUCUUUUUACUUUUUAACCGUUUAACGAGUGUCUUAUUUUUUUGAAUCCAAACCCUAACAAAAAGUACAAUAAUUAGUUCCGGAAGAUAUUAGGCUUCCCUAAUUUGGAUUUUUUUUUUUUAAAGGCAAGUAGGCUUUUGAGUUUUGAGGAGUAUCUUCCCCAUGCAAAAUAUGCUCAACAUUUUUUGUUUGGUCAUUAAAUCGUCUACAAAUAAAUGUAAGGUAAAUGUUGAAGUUUGGUGAGAGAUAUGAGGCAUGUGAACAUUGUGAAGUGGAGAAACGAGAGGAGGCUCUAUAAAACUGCAAAGGCCAAAUUGAAUUAUAAACAUUGUUGUCAUUUGUCAAGAAGGUGGUCCAUUUUUAAUAGCCGAGACGUGAGGAACCAAAUAACAACAUUUCCCUUUCAAUUUUCAUUUACUUCCAGAAUUAUUUUCUACUAUAUGUUUGUUAUUAUUUCGAAUUUGAAAUAAGUUUUUUUUUUGUAAUUAUUAUUGUUUCUUUUGGCUAUAUUUCGAGUGAAGAAAAUGACUGGAUGGAAUGGACAAUUAAUGCUCGAGGACAACUAUCUUUGAUGUGGAAAGUUAAUUAUUGUUAAUUCAGUGGGCCCAUCGUUUAGCCCAAUGGGCCCUUUUCGAAUGAUAUGUGAAAUUUUAUCUCUUUACCUGUUUAACCGCGGAGAAAAUAACUCUUUUAUUUUGUACCUUGUAUAGGCAGACAAUAACAUAGAAUCUUUACCGUAUUACACAAACUAGUUUUUGUUACAUGCAAAAUGUUUCUUGUCUUAAAAAUAUUAACUCCAGAACUCUGACGUGGCAUUAUCAUAAAGCGAACAUAUAAGAUCGGAAAAAAAAUCAACGGCUCAGAUUAAAACCUCAGCUUAUGAUUCUUCUUUAUCUACUCCCUCUCUUCUCCUUCCUCACUCCCUCCCCUCUUUCUCUCUUCCCUCGCUCUCUGUUCAGAGCCAAAAGCAGAGCACAUAUACACACACACUUACGAUGUUGCUUGGAAAGAGACAACGACCACCGAUCAACAGAACAACUAGCCUGUCCGAGAUUAAGUUCGAUCUGAACCUUCCCAGCGAAUCAGAGGUACCAUCAACUCAUCAGAGUCCAAACCAAAAUACUGUGGUGGGACCGUCCGGUUCCAACGGUCAACACGUAGCAGCAGCCGUCGAUCCACGUUUCUUGGCUAUGGUUUCACCGAGAGGUAACCUGAGGAGACACUCAGGCGAGUUUUCCGACGCUGGACAUUUCUUGAGAUCUUGCUCCCUAUGUGAACGCUUACUUGUUCCUGGCCGUGACAUCUAUAUGUACAGGUAUGUAUAUGAACCAAAUAAUAAUAAAAACCGCUGACUCUUGAAUCUCUGAUCAUAGAGAGAGAUAUUCGUUAAAAUGAGAGUAAUUUUUUUCUUUUUACUUUUUAACCGUUUAACGAGUGUCUUAUUUUUUUGAAUCCAAACCCUAACAAAAAGUACAAUAAUUAGUUCCGGAAGAUAUUAGGCUUCCCUAAUUUGGAUGAUUUAUGUUUAUUUAAUUUGUUGUUUAUCAUUGGAAUAUUGUAUAAUUUUUUAUAAUUAAUUUUUGUCAUUAAAAUGGCAGGGG